CCUACGGGAGACUGCAGUGAGGAAUAUUGGUCAAUGGACGAGAGUCUGAACCAGCCAAGUAGCGUGAAGGAUGACUGCCCUAUGGGUUGUAAACUUCUUUUAUAAAGGAAUAAAACGAGGCACGUGAGCCUUUUUGCAUGUACUUUAUGAAUAAGGAUCGGCUAACUCCGUGCCAGCAGCCGCGGUAAUACGGAGGAUCCGAGCGUUAUCCGGAUUUCUUGGGUUUAAAGGGAGCGUAUAUGGGUUGUUUAGUCAGUUGUGAAAGUUUGCGGCUCAACCGUAAAAUUGCAAUUGAUACUGGCAGUCUUGAGUACAGUUGAGGUAGGCGGAAUUCGUGGGGUAGCGGUGAAAUGCUUAGAUAUCACGAAGAACCCCGAUUGCGAAGGCAGCUUACUAAACUGUGACUGACAUUGAUGCUCGAAAGUGUGGGUAUCAAACAGGAUUAGAUACCCGGGGUAGUC
rnacentral:rRNA from 1 species